GACGUAGGUGGCGAACGUUAUCCGGAAUGAUUGGGCGUAAAGGGUCCGCAGGUGGCAGUGUAAGUCUGCUGUCAAAGAAUGAGGCUUAACCUUAUCAAGGCAGUGGAAACUACACAGCUAGAGUACGGUCGGGGUAGAAGGAAUUCCUGGUGUAGCGGUGAAAUGCGUAGAGAUCAGGAAGAACACCGGUGGCGAAAGCGUUUUGCUAGACCUGUACUGACACUGAGGGACGAAAGCUAGGGGAGCGAAUGGG
rnacentral:rRNA from 1 species